CGAAGGCCCGGCCGGAUGUCCCGCCCCGGCGCCCCGGAAGGAGUCGCGAGAGAGGCGGCGUGCGCUGACAGUGUCCCUGAGCCUCCGAGCUCGUCUCGCCGCCCCGCGCAGUGCCCAGCCCGGCCCCGCCGACCCGCCUCUACCGCCGGCUCCGCGCCCUUCCCCGAGGGCUGGAUGAUGGGCGCUUUCGCUCUGCAGACGGUGGACACCGAGCUGACCGCGGACUCGGUGGAGUGGUGCCCGCUGCAAGGCUACAGGCACUUGCUGGCAUGCGGGACCUACCAGCUGCGGCGGCCGGAGGACCCGCCUGCGGACCCCCAGAGCAAGGUGCGCGCGUCGCGGCUUCGGGAGGGGAGGGGAGGAUGGGGCCGGCCGCGAGGUUGAGGCCGAGAGGCGCACAGAAUCGCCCAGGAGGUGAAGAGGGGAUGUUGGCCAUUUGGCCAGGACGUAGGUCAGAAACAGUUUAGAAUCUUUUUAAA